rnacentral:rRNA from 1 species
UACAGAGGUCCCAAGCGUUGUUCGGAUUCACUGGGCGUAAAGGGUGCGUAGGUGGUGAGGUAAGUUUGAUGUGAAAUCUCCGGGCUCAACCCGGAAAUGGCAUUGAAUACUAUCUUGCUAGAGGAGUGGAGGGGGGACUGGAAUACUUGGUGUAGCGGUGAAAUGCGUAGAUAUCAAGAGGAACACCUGAGGUGAAGACGGGUUGCUGGGCUGACACUGACGCUGAGGCGCGAAAGCCAGGGGAGCAAACGGG